CACCUGUCAUUCCCAACCUUGUUUCAGUUAUCCCCACCUGGUACCAAUUAAUUUCCUUGUUAAGCCCUAAUCACACCACAUGAUCUUUUCUAACUACAUUUCUAACUUAACCCCUUAAUUCCUUUGAGCUCUUAAUUAAAGUAUAUACAGUUUUCACUAUCAUAGGUGCACUCCUAGCUCAACACCUUGACUCAGCCUCUCUGAUUUUUAAACUGCAGCAGCACUUGCCACAAGUCUGAGCAGCAAGAAUAAAAAGCCAUCCUAGCAAAGGAAGGGAUUUCAGCUGUGCCACACAGGAUCUCAGGGCAGCAGUGCUGUGAGAACAAGCACAGCCAAACCCUUCUGCAGUCUCCUCAAGCCUCCUGUGUCUCCAGUGCUUCCAGCCCUUGCCUACAUGAGGACAGAGCCUUUCCCUUUUUGUUCUGUAGCAUGCUCGGGGCUGUGCAGAAAUGUCACCUCACGCAAGCAAAGGGAAAAGAAAAAUAAGCCAACUGAAAUUCUGAUGAUGACAAUUUUUGCAAGCUGCAAGGAAAUGAUGAUCCUUUACCUCGAACUGUCAGAUGCAUCUUCCCAAAUCCCUCAUUGCUCUGUAAUGUAUUACCAUAGCAACUCGUCUCUGCAGUGAUCUAGAGCUCCCCAUGGGCAGCCUGCACUUUGUCAGCGCUGCCACUCCUCUGUGAUGCAAGGAACACUGAGCACUUAAAUACCAAAUCAUUAAAGCAAUGUUUCCCCAGUGGCCACACUGAAUCACACAA